rnacentral:tRNA from 1 species
ACUUAGUUAGCUCAGUCAGUACAGCAUGUGACUCUUGAUCUCGUGGUUGUGAGUUCAAGCCUCAUGCUGGGUG